rnacentral:rRNA from 1 species
GAUGAACGCUAGCGGGAGGCCUAAUACAUGCAAGUCGAACGGUAAGGUCCCUUCGGGGAUACACGAGUGGCGGACGGGUGCGUAACGCGUACGAACAUACCUUCAACAGGGAGAUACCUCCGGGAAACUGGAAAUAAUACCCCAUAGUAUUGAGUAUAUCGCAUGAUAUUUCAAUUAAAGCUUUGGCGGUUGAAGAUUGUCGUGCGUCUGAUUAGCUAGUUGGUGAGGUAACGGCUCACCAAGGCGACGAUCAGUAGCUGGUCUGAGAGGAUGAUCAGCCACACUGGAACUGAGACACGGUCCAGACUCCUACGGGAGGCAGCAGUAGGGAAUAUUGGACAAUGGGCGGAAGCCUGAUCCAGCCGAUCCGCGUGUAGGAUAAGGCCCUAUGGGUUGUAAACGUAC